UCAACGCUAGGCUCGAGCGACCGGCACUUAACCCAUCUCCCUUAUCUCCUACCUCUGUCAUGGUCUCACCCAUCCCGGCUUGUCUCCUGCAAGCUGAUCCGCACCCGUCGGGGCCCUGAGGCUACCUCCCGGUGCUGCCUCUUCCAACUGCGCCGGGCCACCCUGAAAAGCUUCGCUCCGCCAUUGCCUCACUGGAUAUACGCAGGUCAGGUUGCCUCUCUCCCCGGCUUUCUCCCUUCUUCUCUCUCUAAUCUCGUUCUCUGUCUCGCACGUUUUCUCCAGGGAGCCCGCCAUGCCUCUCCGUCUUCGUCCGCCGCGCCGAGACCGCCUCCUGCUGCCGGGAGCCUGCUCUGGAGCCGCCGCCACUGAAGGCCGGCCGACGGCGAGCAAGGCCGGCCAACGCGCGCGGGUCCCUUCAUUGGCUCCAGCAAGCUCGUCGGCGGCGGGGACCAUAAGAUCCCUGUGCCAGCAGCCUCGGAUCUGGCCCGAUUCGUACGUCCACGACCUCCGCGACCUGCGCAUGCCCCUUGGUCCGGCCUAGAUCCCGCGCCGCUUCGUCUGUUCGUGUUGACCCCGAGGAGUCGUAUCUUCGGCAGACCACCACCAGUGGCUUCAUCCCUGUAUCUUCAGAUGGGCUCUCUUCUCUUUGAUUUGUUCUUGUCCCUCAUUUCCUUCUUGAUUUGUUUCCUUCUUGAUUUUGGAGACCGUUUGUUGAUUUUCUAGGGCGUACGUAUAUGAACUGGUAAGAUCAGAUGUAAAGUAGCGAGGUGGGAUUAUUUGAUGGAAGAAAGAUUCUCAACACAGAGCUAGGUCUUUUUUUUUUGAGAAAAAGAGAUGCAGGCCGGCAAUGUACAAAACUUGAGCGCAAAGAACAAACAAACGAUGGGCUAGAAGGCAUGCAGCGGCAAAGAACAUAUGGGCUGCUUCGUUUGUAGGCUCAACAAUUAGGAUGUAAAUUCACGGGAAACCGAAAAUUACCUAAGCAAAAAAUUAGUACCACCUCGAAUAUGGGUUUUUCCGAAACUGAAAGCGUAAACUUACGGGAAGAAGCGUAUUGUGACGGUGAACCCGAAGACCCAAUCUGUG
rnacentral:lncRNA from 1 species